CCUACGGGAGGCAGCAGUGAGGAAUAUUGGUCAAUGGGCGGAAGCCUGGACCAGCCAAGUCGCGUGCAGGAUGACGGCCCUACGGGUUGUAAACUGCUUUUAUACGGGAAUAACGCGCCUUACGUGUAGGUCUUUGCAUGUACCGUAUGAAUAAGGACCGGCUAAUUCCGUGCCAGCAGCCGCGGUAAUACGGAAGGUCCGGGCGUUAUCCGGAUUUAUUGGGUUUAAAGGGUGCGCAGGCGGAGGUGCAAGUCAGCGGUAAAAUUGCGGGGCUCAACCCCGUACUGCCGUUGAAACUGCAUACCUUGAGUGGGCGAGAAGUAUGCGGAAUGCGUGGUGUAGCGGUGAAAUGCAUAGAUAUCACGCAGAACUCCGAUUGCGAAGGCAGCAUACCGGCGCGCAACUGACGCUCAUGCACGAAAGCGUGGGUAUCGAACAGGAUUAGAUACCCGGGUAGUC
rnacentral:rRNA from 1 species